rnacentral:tRNA from 3 species
GGGGCUGUAGCUCAGUUGGCUAGAGCGCCUGCCUUGCAAGCAGGAGGUCAGGAGUUCGACUCUCCUCAGCUCCACCA